UGGUUCUGGCAUNGAUGAAGAACGCAGCGAAAUGCGAUAAGUAGUGUGAAUUGCAGAAUUCCGUGAAUCAUCGAAUCUUUGAACGCACAUUGCGCCCUUUGGUAUUCCAUAGGGCAUGCCUGUUCGAGCGUCGUGUAUGGCUCAAGCAUUGCUUGGUGUUGGGUGUCUGUCCCGCCUCUGCGCGUGGACUCGCCCUAAAGUCAUUGGCAGCGGUUAUGUUGGCUUCUCGCGCACACUUGCGGUCAGAGAGCAGCGAGCCGGUGAUCCAUUAACGCUAUUUAUCACAGUCGACCUCGGAUCAGGUAGGGAUACCCGCUGA
rnacentral:misc_RNA from 1 species